CUCGUUCACCGGCAGGAGAGGUGGAGGUGGGAAGAAACACGACUCCCAUUUUAGCAUUGGUGGAAAACUCAGGAGCUAACCAAUCAAAAUCACCAAGGCCACAUGGAUUUGAUGA